UACGUAGGGGGCAAGCGUUGUCCGGAAUCAUUGGGCGUAAAGAGCGUGUAGGCGGCCCGAUAAGUCCGCUGUGAAAGUCCAGGGCUCAACCCUGGAAUGCCGGUGGAUACUGUCGGGCUCGAAUCCGGAAGAGGUGAGUGGGAAUUCCUGGUGUAGCGGUGAAAUGCGCAGAUAUCAGGAGGAACACCAAUGGCGAAGGCGGCUCUCUGGGACGGUACUGACGCUGAGACGCGAAAGCGUGGGGAGCGAACAGGG
rnacentral:rRNA from 1 species